UCCUGAUCUGGUCUACAGCUGCACCGUCAGCACUGGCAGGAACAGGAGGAGAGCCACUUUGAGGCAACUCUCUUCUAUCAGUGUUUCCAGCACUGACACAACAAUCCCCUGCAUUUCCUCAAACACUUCCCUUCUUAACUUCAGCCUCGUCUGGAGAUUCAACCACUUUCAUAUCAUCCUGAACCGGACCAGCGCUAACGUACUCUACACCGUCUCAGAGGAGUGGAGGCAGCAUGUGAAGGGUGUGUCUGAGUCAGGCAGCCUCACGCUACAGGACUUAACUUUGAAACAGGAGGGGAUAUACACCUGUGAACUCAGUAAUGCUGAGGAAACAGACAUAACCAACAUCAUUCUGAUAGGGAGUCAAACGUAUUUCACAGGCGUUAUUGUAGGUCUGGCGGUUGGAGCCCUUUUGGUUGUAUUCCUAGC